UACGUAGGGUGCAAGCGUUGUCCGGAAUUAUUGGGCGUAAAGAGCUCGUAGGCGGUUCGUCGCGUCGGCUGUGAAAACCCGGAGCUCAACUCCGGGCCUGCAGUCGAUACGGGCGGACUUGAGUGUUGCAGGGGAGACUGGAAUUCCUGGUGUAGCGGUGGAAUGCGCAGAUAUCAGGAGGAACACCAAUGGCGAAGGCAGAUCUCUGGGCCGUAACUGACGCUGAGGAGCGAAAGCAUGGGGAGCGAACAGG
rnacentral:rRNA from 1 species